CUUUGUUUGUCUAAUAAAUUGAUUACUUUCUGAUUCUCUAGAUAAACAGUAAAUGAUAAUUUUUCCCUUAUCCUACGUUAUCCGACUAGGCUACGAUUUUAUAGGAAGACUUUAUAGGUUAAUGGCAUUAAUGCAGGGUGUUUCAGAAGUAGCAGUACAACCCGUAGACAGACGAUUCCACCCGAUUUAUAAAGCAUAUAAAGUCUAGGGCGUUUGCUCCUAACUGCUGCAAUUCCGAUUAAACGGCUUCCGAAAUAUGAAUGCGUCACUGGACGUCAUAAAGAAAAAGAAAGCCACGCUGUAAUCUAUGUAACCGGGAAGAAAAAUGUAUAAACUGAUACCAAUCAAGAUUCUGAUCUUAACCGUACUUUAUUUUUUCAGUUAUGGUAGAUUUGCUGUACCGAAAGCCGUGUUUGGCAUAAAUUUCCAUAAGUUUUUCGUUCCUGUUAUAGGCACGUUUUUAUUUUAUUGUAAAAGUGACAUUUCCAUAUUCCAGACAUCAUUUUCACGAACUUUAAAAAAUGGC
rnacentral:lncRNA from 1 species